rnacentral:lncRNA from 1 species
CCAAAUACAUGGUACAUAAAGCAAACUACAACUUUAAUAAUACAAAUGUCGUGUGAAAUACGACAAUACAUACUGUGAGUUUAAAUACAAAUAUUGUCUUCUAGACAAUAUCCAUACUCAAAUAAGUCCUCAUUACAAUUAUUCAAAUACUAUUUUACAAAAAUAGUGAGGACUGCUAAAACAUCUUUCUAGAACCAUUACUUCAUACCCUGACUCGAUCUUGCUAUGUUCUCACAUCCUGAAAAGAAAAAUAGAACAAAAAGGAAAAGGGUGAGCUCAACUAGCCCAGUAAAGAAUAUUAUGACUAAGAUAAUAUACAACAAAUUAUCGUUAGUCCUCAACAGGGAAAAAUCUGAUAAGAUAUAAUAGACAACAAGUUUUAGAUCAACAACUGCAGCGGAAACAACAAUCCAUUAGAAGAGUCAAGUAGAGAAUGAGUUCUACUAUCUUCUAAGAUUUAAAAGUCCAUCAUCAAUAUUUUAUCCCUGUAACAACAAUCAAUAUACAUCUUUAAUCAAAUAUUCAUCUUUGCACUACAGGCCAAAGAUAUUCAUUUGUAUCACCAGUUGGUCAUGUUCAUCUCAACACCUGUUCAUCUUUGCACUACGGGCCAAAGAUAUUCAUCAGUUAAUCAUUUAUCUUUGCACUACAGGCCAAAGAUAUUUAGUAAUAUCAUCAUUUAGGACUGAGAAUAAUGAAAAAUAUUUUAAAGAAAAUGAAUCCAGUGAGACAAAAGGGCAAAUAGUAAGGAUUCGUAUAACAGUUUAUCCAAGAUCAAUAAUAAUCCAUAAUAACAAAUUUUGAAGUAAAAUUCAAAAAUAAAGAUCAAAACAUGGAUACAAUCAAAUAUAGUAACCAUAAAAGACAUCUGGAAGAAAAAGAGAAAAUUUUAUUUUUCGGUGAAUAGUGUCGUAUUCGUGAAUAGUGCCGUAUACGUGAAUAGUAACCCCGACACAAAAGUUCUAAAUUUGAUUAAAAAGUUCACCAAUAUUUUGGUAUAAUGAUAUUGAAGAAAAUAAUAUCAUUUAAGAAGAAAAUAAUAUCCCUUACCUCAAAAUAACCGUACUUCUGACUGAAUUUCGGAUAUAGUGCUGACAAAAACUUGCACCAUAUAGCAACACUCAAAGUAUACUCACAAGAAUACGCUCGAUAAUAUAGAGAGAAAAAGAGAGAAAACAUGUUUCUGGUGUUAUUUUCAAUUCUAACUUAGCCCUCUAUUUAUAGGAAAAUGCUAGAACGCCAUAGAAGACUAAAUAAUAAAAUAAUAUUAUUAUUAAUUACAAUUCCUACGCAUGCUUUGAAUUUUUGGGCAGCCAUGCUGGAAGAAUUCAGCAGCUCAUGUGUGUAUUCCACCAACCAAAAGUGGGUCCCCCCAUAAAUUUAAUAAAAAUUAUUUUAUUUUUUCAAAACUUCAACAAUUCAUAGAAAAUAGCCCGGUUAUCAGAAAAAUACGAAUUUUAUGUCCAUUCUGCCUGAAAUCGAAUUCUCUACAACUUUGUAGCUUUGAAUUUUUCUAAAUUCCAAACCAAAAAUAUCCGAAAUCCACAAACGGAUGAUUUUUAAUACUUUCCUUUCGACAAAAUACUGAUAAAACACCUCAACAUUAAUUCCUUCAAUUAUAUCCACAUAAAAUAAAUAUAUCCAUCAAUUAUAUCUACAUCAAAUAAAUAUUUUCUUAUCAUAUAAAUCAAUAAUUAAUUAUUCAUAAAUAAUAGUACAGAAUCACAAUUAUGACAACCAGGCCGUUCUCACGAAAGAGGGGGCUUUCCAAUAAGGAUUUCUCCUUACUGGCGCGCAGUUAGGUGACCAAACCUCUCCUUGACAGAACGUUCUAGACAUUGCCGAUAAUGCUAUCUAAUAAUAUUAUUCAAAUAAUAUGAAUUAUUGAUCUGAUAAUGAAAAAUAUUGUGCAGUGACAAUUAUUGAAACAAUAAUAAUAUAAACUAUCAACGCAGCAAUUAUUGAAUCAAUAAAAUAAAAUAUUAAACAGUAACUACUGUAACAAUUAUUGAGUAGUGCCUUCUUACGUACGAAUCAAUAAUUCAACAAUACUGUGCAAUACCGUGUGCUACUGUGUAACCACGCAUAUUACUGUAUUUUAACCACCGGAUAUUCCAACAGUGUUAACGAUAACAACUACGUCGUUAUUUGUAAAAACUCAAAUUUGUCGUUUUCUUCAUCCGACCGUUAUCCGUUAUGGGGCCCACAAAUGGCUGCGCCAUCGUACGAAUAUUCCCAGACAGAAAGAAUAUUCCACGACAAAAUGAAUAUUUUAUAACCACUUGCUUAUUUUGCAAAAUUUUCAUAUUUCACCCAUAUCCAAAGCAUUAUAUCAAAUUAAUACCUUAUUAAUUUAGAAUAAUGAAUAAAGGAAAAUUCGCUUUUAUUUAUAAUAAGUUGGGGUCUUACACGCGGACUACCCUAUACAUAGUGAAAUUCUUCUGUUAUUCCAUUCUUUAUUAUUCUGUUGGAACAUCCUGUCGGUGCGAAUUUCGCCUGACCUGGUUCCGUUAUUUAUUAUUCUGUCGGAAUAUCCUGUCUGUGCGUUUACGCAUGACCUGGUUUCAUUCUUUAUUAUUCUGUUGGAAUAAUCUGUUUAUGCGAACUACCGUAUGUCGGGUGAAGAUCCAUUUGCAUUAUACUAAUAACAUAAAUAUAAGAAUAUUUAUAUUUACAUUUUAUCACCACUUGAGGUCGUGACUUAGUUUAUUUUUCUAUAUCAUACAUGCAAUUAUUUAUUAUUUUAAUAAAUAAUAAUUGUGUUUUAACCCAGAAUAGAUGGCAAACUUGGCAAAAAUAGAUUUUUCUAUUUUGAAAAUCUCUGGAGACAACUAUUUGGCUUGGGCACUUGAUGCAGAAUUGCACCUUAGUGCAAAUGAGUUAGAAAAGACCAUUGAAUCAGGAAAUACAGCAACUUCGGCACAAAAUGCAAAAGCCAUAAUUUUUCUUCGUCACCAUAUUGAUGAAGGAUUAAAGACUGAGUAUUUAACAGUCAAAGAUCCUUUGUCUUUAUGGACACAACUGAAGGAAAGAUUUGACCACCAAAAAUUGGUUGUUCUCCCUAAUGCCAAAUUUGAGUGGCUUAAUUUAAGGCUACAAGAUUACAAAUCAAUUACGGAAUAUAGUUCCAAUGUUUAUAGAAUAACCUCUACUUUGGCUUUGUGCGGAGAUCCAGUUUCUGAAACCCAAAUAUUAGAGAAAACACUCAACUUUUCAUCCCAUCAACAUGAUUCUGUCACAACAAUAUAGACAGAAUAAGUUCACAAAAUUCAGUGACUUGUUGUCUAUCCUCCUUAUUGCAGAAAAGAAUAAUGAAUUGUUGUUGAAAAACCAUCAAGUACGGCUAACGGGUGCUACCCCAUUGCCAGAUAUUAAUAGCACGUCAUUCCAGCAGAAUAAACGUGACAAUAGAUGGUCAUAUAAAAAGAAGCCUUGGGGGCGAAAGAAUAAACGAGGCCAUCAUAACAACAAAUUUCAGAACCGCGAUAAUUCAGGCCACCAGAAGUGGCAAGUGUCUGAGUUAGGUAAAAAUAAAGAAAAUGCAACACAAAUAAAGAACAAACCAGAUGUUUGUUUUAGGUGUGAGAUGAAUGGGCAUUGGUCGCGUACCUGUCGUACGUCGAGGCAUCUGGUUAAUUUAUUCCAGGAGUCUUAAAAGAACAAAGUGAUGGAGGAAGAAACAAACUUUGUUAAUCAUCAAUUGGAUAUUGUUGAUGUUCCACCAAUGACCAACAAUGAGGAAAAUGUUGUUGAUAUUACUGGACCUUCUGAAAGUAUCUUUUGGGAUAUCGUUUAAUUUUUGUUUUAAUUAAACACCAUGCAUGUAUAAUAUUAUUAGUUUUUAUGCCAUACGUGGUGGUAUGUGUUUAUCAUGAAUAAAAUUAUAUAUGACAUGUAACUUUUCUUAUUUAUGUUUUUACAUGUGUCAGACCAUCUUUAAUGAAUAUCUUCUCAUCAUUUCUACAAUUUUUUGAAAAAUAGAAUAUCCUAGAAAAACUUCAUUCAAUUUCUUCUAUACUAUGAAAAUUAGAGCAAUUGAGUCUCAUACUGUUAUGAUUCCAAAAAUCAUAGAUCCCAUAUCCUUUAUGCUUUGGCUUGAAAGAUUCGGUCAUCCGGGUAAUUCUAUGAUGCGUCGUAUUAUUGAAAAUUCUACUGGUCAUCCUCUCACAGAUAAGAAGGUUUUUUCUAGUAGUGAAUUUCCUUGUAUUGCGUGUUCUCGAGAAAAAUUAAUUGUUCGACCAUCACCAGUAAAAGUUUAUAAAGAAGCCCCAAAAUUCCUAGAGAGAAUUCAAGGAGACAUUUGUGGACCUAUUCACCCAUUGUCUGGCCUAUUUCAAUAUUUCAUGGUUUUAAUAAAUGCUUCAACUAAAUGGUCUCAUGUUUGUUUGUUUUUUCUCUUCUCGAAAUUUUGCCUUCUCAAAACUUCUUACUCAAAUAAUCAAGUUACGGUCUCAGUUCUCGGAUCAUCCAAUUAAGUCAAUUCGACUUGAUAACGCAGCUGAAUUUUCAUCAAUAACUUUUAAUGAUUUUUGUAUGACUAUUGGAAUCUCUAUUGAGCAUUUUGUUCCUCAUAUUCAUACACAAAAUGGUUUAGCUGAAUCUUUAAUAAAAAGACUUUAACUAAUUGCACGACCAUUAAUGUUAAGGGCUAACUUACCUACCUCAGUUUGGGGUCAUGCAAUUCUUCAUGCUGUAGCCAUCAUUCGUGUAAAACCAACGGCUCUUCAUAAAUUCUCUCCUCUACAGUUAGUUCUUGGACAAAUACCCAAUAUAUCACACUUUCGAGUUUUUGGAAGUGCAGUAUAUGUUCCAAUUGCACCUCCACAAAGAACUAAGAUGGGAGCCCAACGAAGAAUAGAUAUUUAUGUUAGUUUUGAUUCUCCUUCUAUUAUCAGAUAUCUUGAACCUUUAACUGGAGAUGUUUUUACUGCACGUUAUGUUGAUUGUCAUUUUGAUGAAUCUAUAUUUCCAACAUUAGAAGGAGGGAAAGUUUUAAAUAAUAAAAAACCCUCUGAAAUAUCAUGGAAUGCAUCAGAUUUAAAUUCACUUGAUCCUCGUACAGGACAAUGUGAAAUUGAAGUUCAAAGAAUUAUUCAUUUACAAAAUAUUGCAAAUCAAAUGCCAGAUGCAUUUAAUGAUGCUAGAAAAGUGAUAAAGUUACAUACACCUGCAGUGAAUACUCCAGCAAAGAUAGAAAUGCCUAUUGAAAAAUCAAUUCCUGGAGAAUUGACGAAUAAGGUAAUAGAAGAAUCUAAACCACGCUAGAAGCGUGGAAGACCGAUUGGUGCAAAAGACACUGUACCACGAAAAUCAAAAGCAAAUAAGGGAAUCCCAGAAGGAAUACCCGCUCCAGAAGUAGCAUUUAUUCCAAGUGUAGGAAUAGCCCCAAAAGAGGUACAAACCGCUUCAGAAGUAGCACUUAUUUCAAGAGUGGGAAUAGCCCCAGAAGAGGUUCAAAAUCUCAGUGAAGGGAUAAGAGAUGAACACCAAGAGAUCUCAAUAAAUUAUGUACAUGAUGAGAAAAUAUGGGAUUGAAGCAAAGUCAUGAUUGAUGAUAUAUUUGCUUUCUCUAUAGCAUCUGAUAUUACUUUGAUUCCUGACACGGAUCCUGAACCACAAAACGUAGAAGAAUGUCGGAAAAGAAAAGAUUGGCCAAAAUGAAAAGAUGUUAUUCAAACUGAGCUACAAUCUCUAUUGAAAAGAGAAGUAUUUGGACCAGUAGUCCAAACACCGCUGGGUGUAAUUCCGGUUGGAAACAAAUGGGUAUUUGUACGAAAGCGAAAUAAGAAAUAUGAAAUUGUGAGAUACAAAGCCAGACUUGUAGCUCAAUGGUUUUCACAAAAACCUAGUAUUGAUUAUCAGGAUACAGACUCUCCGGUACGUAAUGGAUGGAGUCACUUUUCGCUUUUUGAUAGGUAUGGCAACCAUGGAAGAUUUGGAAACACGUCAGAUGGAUGUUGUAACAGCAUACCUAUAUGGCUCACUUGACAGUGAGAUUUACAUGAGAAUCCCUGAAGGAUUGAAAAUGGCUGAAUCACAAAGGCCCCGUCACAUAUAUUCAAUCAAGUUACAACGCUCAUUGUAUGGGUUGAAACAAUCUGGUCGUAUGUGGUAUAAUUGACUUAGUGAUUAUUUAAUAAAAGAUGGAUAUAUAAAUGAUCAUGUAUGUCCAUGUGUUUUUAUUAAGAAAUUACAAAGUGAAUUUUCCAUCAUUGCUGUAUAUGUGGAUGAUUUGAAUUUUGUAGGUACUCCUGAAGAACUCACAAGAACUGCUACUUAUUUAAAAGAUGAAUUUGAAAUAAAAGAUAUUGGAAAGACAAAAUUCUGUUUGGGAAUACAAGUAGAGCAUUUAGCAUCUGGAAUUUUUGUUCACCAAUCCACAUAUGCUGAAAAGAUUUUCAGUCGUUUUCAUAUGGAUAAAGCUCAUCCUUUGACUACCCCGAUGGUUGUUCGAUCUUUAGAAGUUGAUAAAAUCCAUUUCGGCCUCUAGAAAGUGGGGAAGAAGUUCUUGGACCUGAAGUUCCAUACUUAAGUGCAAUGGAAGAAGUUCUUGGACCUGAAGUUCCAUACCUAAGUGCAAUAGGUGUUCUUAUAUAUCUUGCAAACUGUACACGACCUGAUAUUACUUUUGCUGUUAACUUGUUAGCAAGAUACAGUUCUUCUCCGACUAAGAGACAUUGGGAUGGGAUUAAACACAUUUUGAGAUACCUCCGUGGAAGUAUUGAUCUUGGGUUAUUUUAUCCAAAAGAUUCAACGUUGCGAUUGGUUGGAUAUGCCGAUGAAGGAUAUUUAUCAGAUCCACACAAUGGAAGAUCACAAACAGGUUAUGUAUUUACAUAUUGUGACACGACUAUAUCUUGAAAAUCCACAAAGCAAACCAUGACAGCUACAUCUUCAAAUCACUUAGAGAUUCUCGUUAUACAUGAAGCAAGCAGAGAGUGUGUUUGGUUGAGAUCAAUUAUUCAGCAUAUUCAACAAUCAUGUGGAUUACCAUCAAUCAAAGACAUUCCUACAAUUCUGUAUGAGGAUAACGCUGCAUGCAUUGCUCAACUUAGAGGAGGUUACAUCAAGGGAGAUAGAACAAAGCACAUUUCACCUAAAUUCUUCUUCACACAUGAGCUACAAAAGAAGGGUGAUAUAGAUGUGCAUCAAAUUCGAUCAUGUGAUAAUCUAGCCGACUUAUUCACAAAGUCGCUACCAAGUGCAACAUUUGCAAAACUUUGAAAAAGGAUCGGAAUGUGUCGACUGAAAGACUUAUGACAACAUUUCAUCAAGGAGUAAUGAAUUCCUUUUGAGGGGAAGACUGUACUCUUUUUCCUUAGUCACGGUUUUUAUCCCAAUGGAUUUUUUUUCUGACAAGGUUUUAACGAGGCAGUCAAUUAAGAUAUUUAUGUAAAAGAUAUGUACUCUUUUUCCCUUCGUUAAGUUUUUCCCACUGGAUUUUCUUAACAAAAUUUUUAAUGAGACAUAAUCUUCUAUCGUAGGUAAUCAGGGGAAGUGUUAUAAUGCAUAUGCACAUGGGAUUACCUCCUCAAGAGGGAAUCUCCCGUGCUGCCCCUUCCUUCCUCUUUCCCUCUCCCCGUGAAGGUUUCCUGCUCUCCCGUGACUUAAGUUUCUCUUAUAUAAAGGAAUGAAUACUGAAGGUUUCUAAUAAGAAUUCUCUCUGAAGAAUUUCUCUCUUUUCUUUUACUUAUUCUCUUUAAAUUCAUCAACUUAUUUACUGAACAGUGUCCAUGAAAAAAAGCCCAACAAUUAAACUAUAAAAAAAACCCAAAAUAGUGCAAUUGGGACUUGGGAGCGUAAGGUUCUGUACUGCUUCCCGCACUGAAGCCUCGAAACCCUAAAAUUAAUGGCACAGGUGAAGAAGAAGAACACGCAUUUCCCGCGAAGCGAAAGCCUGAUAUAGUCGUAGAAGGCAAAGACAUUGACGGAAACGAAUCAAAAACAAAGAAGCAGAAAUCUGAAAAAGAAGAAGAAAACAAUUCUUAUGUUGCCGAGGAGAAGAAGGCCAUCGAUGAAGACGAAGAAGAUGAAGAGGAUUACGAAGGCGAUGAUGAUGAUGAUGAUGAGGAGGAGGAGGAUGAGAGUGAUGAUGAGGAGCAUUCCAAUGGAGAAGUGCACAUUGAUCGUAAGGGAAAAGGAAUUAUGAAGGAUGAUAAAGGUAAAGGCAAAUUAAUUGAAGAAUCAGACGAUUCGAGUGAUUCGAUUGAUUGUAAUGAUGGUGAAUCUGAUGAUGGUGAUAGUGAUUUGUCUGAUGAUCCCCUGGCCGAGGUCGACUUGGAUAACAUUCUUCCGUCCAGGACUCGAUGCGGUGUGGCUCCUGGUCUUUUUAUUGCUACCCCUAAGGAUAAUAAUGAUGCUUAAUUCGAGGAGGUUAGUUUUAAAAAAGAAAAAAAUUCUGCCAAAAUUGUAGUUCAGUUUAGAGGUAGUAGUAGUUGUAGAACUUUGAUGAGAUUUUAUGAUGCUGAUAUGAUGAUUUUAGGUACAAUGCAGUUAUAUUGUAAAACAUCUUAGAUGUAUGGAAUGCCCCUUUCUAUUAGUUUGAGUUUCGGUUUCACCCAUCAAGUUAUUUAUAAUGUUGAUUGUAAAAUUUAGUUGAAUUUUAUGUGAUCUUAGCAGAGAAAUGUGUUGAAAAUGCACCGAGUCUAUUAUGUUUUUGGAUUGUUGUGUUAAUCCAAUUAUGUAAGUAAUGUCAAUUGUAAAAUUUAGUUGAAUUUUGUGUGAUCUUAGCAGAGAAAGGUGUUGAAAAUACAUUGUGUCUAUUAUGUUUUGGAUUGUUGUGUUAAAACUUAGAACAGAGGUAAUUGUUACUUAAAUUUAGGGUCAUUAUCAUCUAUUGAUUCUUUUUUUUAACAGAGGCGAUUGGACUUUCACGCAACUCGCAGGACAUGUGGUUGGAUUUAGUGUGAUUUAUCUGUUGUGUUUGUAUGUCAGUUGUACACACUCACGGAGUAGACAACUUUAGAUUAUGUGAUUUUUCAGUCCAUACAAGACGGCACAGCAUCUGUUGGCUGUCAUUGCUGUUACAACAGUGAUCUUCUGGUCAAAACUUGGUUUUAAUAUUGUAUUAUUGUGCUUAGGAUAAGCGGCUCGUUGGUUCUACAUUUAUAGUUUGUUUGAACUUCUUGAGUUCAUAUGACUAAUCUCCCUGUAACUUGUGAGAAAGUGAAAUUCUUGUUUGAGAGAUUAUAGCUGACAUGAAAAUGUCAAAUCGGAUAAAUGACAAAAUUUUCAUUCCCUUACAACAGAUUGUUUCAUGCAUAAAUAUUACUGAAGUUGAUACCUUAAAUACUAAGAGUUCCUCUAGUCAGUAGGAAGUUGGUCUCUUACUCUUCCAAUUUUUGAAGUUGAUUUUGUUCUAUGGUUUGGCUGCUGUCGCCUAUUUCAUACUUAAAAGUCAAAUGUAACACCUCCACACUCUUGGGCCACUUGAGAUCAACUCUGGGUAGAAUACAGGGUGAUCUUGGGUGAUUGAUCCACCUUGACUCCUGCAGUUUUCCUGGUUGGGUCUGGCAGAUACACCUAUUUAUUGCUAGUAAAUCAAUUUUUAGCUGACAUAAAAAUAAAAAUUCUUUCCUGAACAUCAAAUCUUUUGUUGUUGACUUGUAAUUGGAUGAAACCUUAAUGGUUUUUUUCAUCAGGAGCUAUUUCUAGUUGUUUGUUCUUCUUCAGAAGUAAGAUUUGAACAUUCUUUAAGUAGAUACUAGUAGUGGUUAUAGUUGAAGUCCUUGUACACCUAUUACUGGUUUGAAUUUGAUAAAUGCUUGGCGGACUGGAAUGGUGUUUUGGCUCUUUACUAAGCUCUUUGGCCUGUAUUUCUUGCCAGACUUUUAUUCACCUAUUAACAUCUCUUUUUCUUCCCUUUUAGUUAAAGGUGAUGGGGCUACACAACCUUUGCCUUAUCGCUAAUUGUGAUGAAUUUACCUUCCCUUCAUAUGUUGUUAGACCUGUCAAAUUGAGAUAAAAUAUGGAAUCAUUCCAAUCUUACUCUAGAAAGUAUUAUUAACGUUGUAGUAUUCGUGUGUGAUGUAGGACAUUGAUGUUGUCUCAUUGUCGGGUUGAUUGUCACAAAAUCUGCAACCUCCUCUCCCUACAGUAUAAGAUUGAUUAUUCACUUUUGAAGCAACUUUCUAUGUUGCAUUUUUUAUUUGAUGUGUGAAUUAGUGGCUGAAUUCACUUAUCCGACUAAAAUUUUGAUAAUCUUGUACGAUCAGGUGCAUUUUAUCCACCACCUAAAAUCUGGUGUAAAAUGCUACUAGGGCAAAUCAUACAUCAAUCAACUUUUACUGGAUCACAUUGUUAUUUGUUAUACUCUAAAUUUUCAUAUCACGGGUCAGAUAUGAAAAGAUGAAUAAAUUAAAUAAUAUGAAUCAACAAUUGCUACAAGUCAGUUGGUCUUGCAGUGAAAUUACUAUGGUGGGUUGUGUGGUUUUAGUUUCGUUUUUAGUUUUCUUUUUCUUUGCAAUUUGGUACAUCCCAUCUCUGGUUUGUAUGUAUUCUCUAUAUUCGUAUUUACUUAUUAUACAUAUGAAUUGAAGUUAUGAGAUUAUUAUACAAGAACAAGAUGUCAAACUUGGACUAGGGAAGCAAGAUUGUGAUGGGGGUAUAUGUUGAAAUCUACUUGUUUGACUCCCGACUGGAGUCGAGCUCUAGUCAAAUUGAAUUCGAUGGUAAAGAGGGAAGACUAAAGAGAAACCUCUUUCUCAUUCUGGGUUUCAUUUUUGUAUUUUCAGUCUUUCUUUCUUUCUUUCUUUGUGGGUAAAAUGAGGUGUAUCCUGGUUCCUUGGAAAGUUCCUUAUAUAAAGAGGGAAAUUUAUUUUAUGUGCUUGUAGGGCAUAAAUGUGUUUUUUUUGGCUACCUGUAUUGUAUCAUUGUAUAUAAACUAUAGGCCAUAUUCCACUUCGGUGAUCCACCUUUCAAUUUUGUCAAUUAGGUGAUUAAACUAUCAAUUUUUUUCAAUUUCAUUCAAUUGAGGUUGUCACGUCAGAAAUUGUUGACGUGGCUCGCUGACUAGGCAAACUAAUGCUUAUAUGUAAUUAAAAAAUAUUAUUUUAAUUAUCUCUUCUAAACAUCAAGGGUAAAUAUGUCAAAAACAAAAUAAAACAUAAUAAUAAUUUAAUAAAAUCAAACCAAAUCAAUCUCUCAUCCAUUUAGUCGAACUAAACAAAAUUAAUUAAUUAAUCAAAAGAAAAAACCCAAUAUGAAUCAAGCUAAAAUCAGAUGAAAAAAUCAUCGAUAAUCAUGGAUCCAGACAGUGAUUUUUGUCCUGAAACCAAAACUUUCCAUAGCCUCUGGCCACCGGUCCCCCUCCCACCAGAAACCACCCCACUCUCCGCGACUUCCUACUCUCUCUCCCUCCAACUCACUUCCCCCUGGCCCGACUCGACUGCACUCAUCGACUCAGCCACCGGCGAACGCGUCUCCUACUCCGAGUUCACUCGCCUAACCAAAAACCUAGCCUCAUAUCUGCAAAACCUAAUCGGCCUCUGCUAUCAUUGAAGAACGAUUAGAACAGAAAAAGCAUUUAACCCCCAAAAUAACUCUCCACUAUUCAUCAUCUUCUUCUCUCCAAACAAAAUAAUCUAUAUAAAUUAAAUUUUCAAAAACAAAAUUAUCCAUAAACCCAAAAUUAUAUAGAUCUUUGCUACCCAAAAUCAUAGAUCUUUGCUACUCUUUAGACCCAAAGAACGACGAUGAUUCAGAUCAUCAAGAUCCGAACCCCAAAACCUUUAACCUCAAAACUCCACCAUUCCAGAUCAUAACUACAAAAUCCACACUCGAUUCAAACCCCAUACCAAUCUUCUAUAGAGAAGCCCCCAAGAUCUAAAAGCCCUCGAAUCUUCUUCUUCAACGGGGUCUUCUUCUUCUUGUGCCAUUUUUUCAUCUGGGUUUUGGGUUUCUUGAUGAGAUUUUGUAUUUUCAAGAUAAAAUAGAGAACAAAAUAAGAAGAAAUUGAGCGAAAAUCUCAGAAAUCGAACGAAAAUAAGUCUGAGUUCUUAUAAAGGUAUUGGAGGCAAUGAUCGCGAAUUGUUAAUAACAUGAGUUUCAUGGAAGUGGGUUUGUUGUUUGCUUCGGUUCGUGUACUGCUAUGAACAAAAUGUUUGAUUUUUGACUUUUUUAGUUAGUUAGUUGUUUUUUUACAUCUUUGUCCUUGUAAUUCUAUAUAAUAUUUUAAAUCAAAUAUAAAAUGAGUUUUUUAUUUAACACAUCAGCAUUGACUUGCCACGUGUUCAAGCCAUAUAAUUAAUUUUUGAUGUGGCAAUUCAAUUGAACUUUAGUGGAAAAAUUAAAAGUUUAAUCAUCUGAUUGACAAAAUUGAAAAGUGAAUCACCGAAGUGGAAUAUGACCUAUAGUUUAAGGUAGUAAUUUAUAUUUAAGCCUUGUAUAUUUAUAGACCUUUCUUGGUGUUUUUGGGAGAGUUUGUUGCAAGGCCUGUGAGUGUGGGGGCAUAGAUGCGUUUUGUUUUCUUUUUGUUUAUAAAUUCAGUAACAACAAUAUACAUGGUUUCUAUUCUUUUGUUUUUCAUUGUAAAUUAAGUUUCCAAUUUAUCGGAAAAAGAAAAAGAGUGUUCUUCAAUAAACCUUAGUAAGGGGAAUUUGAAAUAGAAAAGAAGGUGACUAAUUAAAUUCAUUGUGGACCACCAAGUUUGUUAGGUCUGAACUGAAUAUUCUUCUUCUCAAGUCUAGGUUUAGUAGUAUUGGAUCAUUACACAACUGCAGAAUAGAAACAAUGGUAAAGACGAAUAUGACAGUAACAUCAAAUAUAAUUAAUUAAAGCACACACACAGAAACUGUAUGAAUCAAAGGAAGCAGAAGAGAUGAUGAGGCAUGACACUUACCUAGGAGUGGAGAAGGAGGAGGAGGAGGAGGAGGAGAAUCUGAAGCAGGCUUUGGGACCAAUUUGUAUGUCACACCACCACCACCACCACCACUACUAGUACUAGGGAUGACCACCGCCAAGGCCAAGGUUAUAACAGAAGAGAAGAGAGGACCACAACUCACCUCCCAUGCGCUAUCAUAUCAUAUCAUAUAUUGUUGCCUGCAUCCCCAAUUUGAACCCCCCUCCUCAAGACCUCACGAGAAAUGCUCGUUGAAUCGUACAAUACAACUCACCAAAGAAUUUAUUCAGAACCCACAUGCCGUAAAAAUCUUGUUGUUGGGAGUUUUAAGACUUAAUUUUAUUCUUCUUCACUAAAGACAUUUUUAU